rnacentral:rRNA from 1 species
AGAGUUUGAUCCUGGCUCAGGACGAACGCUGGCGGCGUGCCUAACACAUGCAAGUCGAACGAAGUAUAUUUUUCGAAAUAUACUUAGUGGCGGACGGGUGAGUAACGCGUGAACAAUCUGCCCUAUACAAAGGAAUAGCCUCGGGAAACCGGGAUUAAAACCAUAUAACACUUUUGGGUCGCAUGACUAAAAAGUCAAAUUGAUUAAGAGGUAUAGGAUGAGUUCGCGUCUGAUUAGCUAGUUGGUGAGGUAAUGGCUCACCAAGGCGACGAUCAGUAGCCGGCCUGAGAGGGUGAACGGCCACACUGGAACUGAGACACGGUCCAGACUCCUACGGGAGGCAGCAGUGGGGAAUAUUGCACAAUGGGCGAAAGCCUGAUGCAGCGACGCCGCGUGAGUGAAGAAGGUCUUCGGAUCGUAAAACUCUGUCCUUGGGGAAGAUAAUGACGGUACCCAAGGAGGAAGCCCCGGCUAACUACGUGCCAGCAGCCGCGGUAAUACGUAGGGGGCGAGCGUUGUCCGGAUUUACUGGGCGUAAAGGGUGAGUAGGCGGUUAUUUAAGUCAGAUGUAAAAGGCUAUGGCUCAACUAUAGUAAGCAUUUGAAACUGGAUAACUUGAGUGCAGGAGAGGUAAGUGGAAUUCCUAGUGUAGCGGUGAAAUGCGUAGAUAUUAGGAGGAACACCAGUGGCGAAGGCGACUUACUGGACUGUAACUGACGCUGAGUCACGAAAGCGUGGGUAGCAAACAGGAUUAGAUACCCUGGUAGUCCACGCUGUAAACGAUGAGUGCUAGGUGUUGGCUAGCGAUAGUCAGUGCCGACGUAAACACAAUAAGCACUCCGCCUGGGGAGUACGGUCGCAAGACUGAAACUCAAAGGAAUUGACGG